rnacentral:lncRNA from 1 species
GCUACGAUGAGAUAGAACAGGGCAACAGGAUGGCGCAAGCACGGGGCAGAGGCAGUGGAGUCCUGAAGAUGAGAAGGUGCGAGCCUUAGGAAGAUCUGGGGAGACACGUCCUGCAUAGAGGGAGCAGUUGGUCUGAAGGUCCUAAGGACAUCAGUGCUCUUGGCUCUUGGGCAUUUGGACUCAGAGCGGAACUUACACCAUUGAGCCCCAAUUAUCAGGCCCUUGGAUUGGACUGAACUACACCACGGGUUUUCCUGUUUCUCCGGCUUGGAGAUGCCAGAUCGUGGGAUCCCUGGAUUUCACAACCAAGACUAGUGAGACAGCAAUUAACGUGAAGCUAUUACCCUCAUUUGGGUCUGGAGGGAAGGUGGUGCAGCCAGGAGACAACUUCAGGAGGUAAGAAACAGCCUCCGCCAGGGGGAACACUGGACAUAUGAUCUAAAGAAGAGCCUGAGGUCACCAGAUCACACAGAUGGGAAAGAGUGUCCAGGCAGAAGGACCUCAAGGAACUGGAGACACUGGUGAUGACCGAAGCCCUGAGAACAGGGGAGCGCCGUGCAGCAUGAGGCUGGUGAGGAUCUCCCUCUCAAGUCUAAAACAUGAGAUAAUUAUGAGAACUUAUUGAACUACGCUUCAUGAAGUGGACAAGACAGAAGUUGGAACGUGGCAACAGACUUUCCAUGAAUGGCGCCAACUGUUGCUCUGGAGUUCUGGUGCCCACUCUGGCUGCCCCUUGGAAUCACCUGGGGAGCUGGACUCUACAGACGUUUAUCUUCCUCUGCUGGGCUAGAAUCUCCCAAAGGGCCACUCUGCUCCCUUCUCCUCCUGCUCAGGGUCCUGCAGUGACUCAUCUGCGUGGACUCCAACAGUGGGGCUCCUUGGCCCUCUGGAUUCUGGUUGGGUUGGCCAAUGGAAAGCUCUAAGAGAGAAGAGGAAGAUUGAAGUUGCCUCAGUCUGGCUGUGUCCCUUGACUGA